AAGAGCCGGCCGCGGUGGGGGGCGAGCUGUGGACGGCCCGAGUUGUCGUUGAAACGCGGACGGAGGAGACUUAGGUAUUACUAAGUGGAACAGUUUCAACAAAGCAGAAAACUUCAUGUGCCUGUCAUGAGGGUACUUUUGUAUGGAUCAAGCCUUCUCAGGAAGAAGAAGAAUUCAAAUCUGCAUCUCGGACAUGCUUUAACUACUAGCUGUUGUGUAAGAAGAGAAGAGGGAAACUGCUCAUCUAUGCAACUGCUUUAGGAGAGAGGGCUCCUGUGUUUUUACCACUUGCUGCUGGCUAAUCUUAUUCUUAGGCUCCCACUCUCCCCAUGUGUUGUGUAGAGAGUGUGAAAGCAUUAUUUAGGGGAAGAAGUAGAUUCUAAUAGUUGGUAGGGUGCUUAGAAAUUAAGUGUAGUACUUCAUGUGGAUCCAGUCCGUUUCUGUAUUGUACAUACAGAAAAACCAAAUCAUAGAAAAGUUGAGAGAGUUGCCCGCGUGAACUCAGUUCUCGUGAGUUAUCUGUGCCUAGAGACAUGAUUUCACUGUUCAUGAGUGAGAAACAAGUUAUGUCAAUAGAGUAAGAAGGACAAUAAAACAAAUAGUCCAAGCAAACGCACAGUCUUUGAAAGCUGCCUCACGUAAGCUAUGUCAAACUGCUACAGACAGGAGUAUAUAGCUAACGGCCUUCCCACUGGAGAGUCUGGAGUGCUGCACUAACAAUUUGAGCGUCACAGUUGUUAAGUGUUGUGAUGGAAAUAGAAUGCGAGGCAGUUUUGCAGAUAAUGAGUCUCUAGACUUGAGAGGUUAUAGCUCAAGUUUGUCAUUCUACUUCCAGAAAAUAAUUUACAGUUACAUUCAUUAGCAUAUCAGGUCCUUUACUUUUAGAUCCAUAAAUAUGAAAUAGAGGGGAAAGAAAUAAGGUUUUUUUGGUUUAAUUUCCUUUUCUUACAGGCUAGUGCUUAAUCUAUCUAAAAGUUAAUAAUUCCUUUUUUCUGAAUGAAAAAUAAAGUAUCACCCUUUUUUUCCUGAUGAUAGGUUAAUGAAAACAGUCAUAGACAAGAAGCAAUGUCUAUGACUGUGUAUCUGAAAGAUGUAAGAGGAGAUAUGUUUUCAAGGAGCCACAAAGUUAAACAGCCAGCCACAAUCAUCACUGUUGAUUUUCUGAUUCCCAUGUUGUCUUGCUACAAAUACUAUAGUCGUGUAAAGUCUACAAAAACAAGUUUUAAUGUUUUUUUCAUUUCAUUCAUGAUACAGCAUUUGCUGCAUUGUAACUAGAGGAUUUAAAUACAACAAGCUUUUCAAAACCCAUACAUUUCCAAACCAAGCCUUGGUAAGAAUGACACUACCACAUCAAUCACAAGCAGAGCCUGGCUAUAAAAUUACAGAACCACUCAAGCCAUCUGUAUAAUUAAAUGCAAACCAAAGCAAUCAAGCAAAUGCUAAAGAAAAUAUCUUCAUAUUGUAAACUUUAUAGGUAAAGGCAUGUAUCUGCUGUCUCUAAUUGGGAAAGUCUAUGUCUUUGACAGGUACACCGUGUUAUUGCUUUCCAUUCUCUUAAAUAGCACAGCAUCCUAGCUGGUAAAUGCAGAAAUAUCAGUUGGUGUAGUCUGUGCUGUGUAGAAUUCAGGAUCUAAAAUACAAAUGCCGAAGGAUCAAGGAAAAGAGGUGCAAAACAGAAGCGAAGUGGCUAACAUAAUGCCUGGGUGUGCCUGAUAAUGCAGGCCUUGGUUUGGGUGCCUUUGUUUUACGUGGUUACAUAAUUUCUCCCCAGCUGCUAACAUUGCCUUUGUUAGCUAGGUAGUUUCUUGGAGGCAUUGGGAAGACAGAAGUGAAACUCAAUCUAGGUUAAUUGAAAUGCUUAUGUGAUGUUGGUGUGCCAGAUUCUGUGCUGCAAACCUCUGGAGGAACCAUACAGUAAGCAUAACUUGGAGAGCAAGGACAAAGUGACCUGAAGUUUCCCAUUGCUUCUUUCUACAUUUAGGCUAAGUUUGAGGCUAUGCAGCCCAUGGUUGUACGUCAUAGCACUCCCAAAGGCUGCUCUGAUUUAUGAGAUCCUCCCUGUCCUGCUGUCAAUAGACUACUUAUACGGCAUCGUACCUUAGAGAGGAAAAGGAUUUCUGCAGCUCUCACUUCUGCUGUAUGCAUUCUCCUCAUUGCUUCCUGUGUAUGGCACACUGUACAGGUUGCAAAACUGAAAGUACAAGGCACAGUACAAAGCCGCUGGUCCCUCAGAAGUGCUGGUGGCAUCUUCUCAAAGCUGUUUCUGCCCCUUUUUAAUUCUGACUGGGGAACAAAGAAAAUUAGAAUUGAUUCAGUCCUGUCGUCUGCAUACUAGACUGCAAUACUUCUCUCCUCCAGGGAACACAUACCUGUAUGAACACAAGUGUUUCUGAUAGUUUAUUCUGGAUUUAAGAUCAAACAUGUAAACACCUGCUUUCUGAAAUGAAACCCAAACCCCAGAACUGGGUAAAUAGGCAUAAGGAGAGUCAGAAAUUUUAGAAAGAUGUGCCAAACUGUGUACUGGACAGAACUAGGUAAUAAGAAAUAUUCUUGAUAUCCUGUAUUUUCUCAGAUCUUAUGUACUUCUGAACCAGUAUGCCCAUCCUGAACCAAUCUGGAAUUCUUAGCAGACUGAGUACCCACAUGUCUUCUCUGAAGUAAUGUUGUCUUGGGCGUGCUAGGCCCCUUCUUUCUCCUUCCUUUGGGUAUUCAUGCCAUAUCACCUCCAAAUAAAGGUCCUAACCCCUGUCUUGCAGGUUUAUGUGUGUCUUUGUGGCCCUUUAAGGAUGCCUUCCUGAGAAGCUGAGUCUUUAUGCAGUAAAAAUAUAUUAAGAUGAAGGCAGAAGAGACCGAGAAGAAAAGAUUUUCUAACCUUCUGAUAAACCCACUCAGCAGGUUGGAGGGAGAGAGCACAAAAACUGGGAUUGCGCUGCUGCUGUGUGCUGUUUGCACAAAGUCAGGAGACACCAUCAAUAGAGUUGAGGGCUGGGAUACUGCUCAGAAG